rnacentral:tRNA from 1 species
CAGGGAGACAACAAAAUGUUUAAUAUUAUUAUUUUGUCACCUUAGGUCGAUCGGUAUCUCACAUUCUUAAUUUAUUAAGGAUUUUAUUUCCUAAGUUUUUUCUAGGUCACACCCAUUACUUUUCCUGGGCCAUUAGCUCAGGUGGUUAGAGCGCACCCCUGAUAAGGGUGAGGUCCCUGGUUCAAGUCCAGGAUGGCCCAUAUCUCUAUGUUGGGGGUAUAGCUCAGUUGGUAGAGCGCCUGCUUUGCAAGCAGGAUGUCAGCGGUUCGAGUCCGCUUACCUCCACUGAUUACCACCUCUUCCAUAAUCUGUAGAAAGGAAAUUUUUUGAGUUGUGAUCAACUUCUGAACGAAUCUAGCUUCCUAAUGAAAGCAUUAAGAUGCUGGACUCAUUGAAUUAAUUUCAUUGUUUUCAGAGAACCUUGACAACUGCAUAGAUUAUUUUUAAAGACAAUAAGCAUUUUUAAUGAUGCAGAUUUAUUAUUUGUGCAAAUGCAUUAAUAACAAUUCUAUUAAGCUGAUGCUUCAAUUUUGAAGUUAUU